rnacentral:rRNA from 1 species
CCGAUGUCAUACAAAAACAUGACGUUAGAACCGUAUCUCGAACGAACGGCGCCGCGAUGGUCGGGUACCUAGAAAGCUAGGUUUUCAAAGACACUCGCCCGACCUUCCGGCAUAGAGGGCGCAUAAUAAUUUAUUGUUAUGCGUCCCGCCCGUUAGAGGAGAAAAUUCGAAAUGGCAUCCCACGAUCAACGUAUCGAUGGCGAGAAUAAAUAAAUAAAUUGAGUAAUUUCCUAGACGGUGGAUCACUCGGCUCGUGGAUCGAUGAAGAACGCAGCAAAAUGCGCGUCGAAGUGUGAACUGCAGGACACAUGAACAUCGACGUUUCGAACGCCCAUUGCGGCCCACGGAUUCUGUUCCCGGGCCACGCCUGGCUGAGGGCCGGCUAUCGAUACUAAGUGGUUGGGCUCGUUCCCAACCGAGCGGAGCGAUCGCCUUCGCGUGCCUUCGGGCAUUGCGUUGGCCUUAGCCGUCUCGCAGACACUCCCGCCGCUGCGGCGUUCAAUUUUUUUGAAGCCGCCGUACGCGUUCCGGAUGGAAAAUAGCGGGUGCCGUAGAGCUUACGCUUCUGUAUGGCGGCAUGCUCGGCACUUCGCUUUCCGUUUCGGCUUCCGUGCGGCGGCUGUGCGCUGCACGCUGGCGGGGCUCGAGAAGUCUUGAGAAUAUCAUUAAUGCCGACCUCAGAGCAGACGAGGACUACCCGCCG